CAACUCUCAACAACGGAUAUCUUGGCUCUCGCAACGAUGAAGAACGCAGCGAAAUG
rnacentral:rRNA from 1 species